GAUGAAGAACGUAGCGAAAUGCGAUAAGUAAUGUGAAUUGCAGAAUUCAGUGAAUCAUCGAAUCUUUGAACGCACCUUGCACCCUUUGGCAUUCCGAAGGGUAUGCUCGUUUGAGUGUCAUUGUACUCUCACUCUCCCGAUGCUUUUGGAUCGGGAGUGGUGGACUUGGGUGUUGCUGCUUUGCUGUGGCUCGCCUCAAAUGGAGUAGUGCAACUCUUGGUUGGACAUAGUACGGCGUGAUAAGUGUCUUCGCCGGCGCCUCAUUAUAGAGGGUGGCCGAUCGGGAGCUCUGUGCUUCAAACCGUCUUCGGACAACAUCUGACAACUUGACCUCAAAUCGAGUAGGACUACCCGCUGAACUUAAGCAUAUCAAUAAGCGGAAGA
rnacentral:misc_RNA from 1 species